AAUGGAAGGAGAUGACUGCGGGUUCCAUUAUGGAGAUGGUACAAAUGAGGCUCAGGACAAUGACUUCCCAACAGGUAUUCAAUUUCUCAUUCUAGCUUUGCAUUCUGUUGAAGGGGAGGACGGUAUGGGUGGCUAGUUCUCAUACUUGACUCCAUCAAAUCACCCCUUUAUGAACUAUUAAUAAUGUUGCUAGAAGAAAACCACUUGGUGAAAGUUACUAGCUAUAAAGUAACCAGUGUUUCCUUUAACUUGCUACACCUCCAAGGGGGGCCUUUGUAGGUGAAGGUGUGUCUUAUUUUUAACAAGCUCCUGAAGUUACUCCAAUGCCCAGUUAGCUACAUUUAGAAACACUAGCAACAGGGGUUGGGGAUUUAGCCCAGCGGUAGAGCACUUGCCUAGCAAGCGCAAGGCCCUGGGUUCGGUCCCCAGCUCCGAAGGAAAAAAAAAAAAAAAAA
rnacentral:lncRNA from 1 species